rnacentral:rRNA from 1 species
UACAGAGGUCUCAAGCGUUGUUCGGAUUCAUUGGGCGUAAAGGGUGCGUAGGCGGCGCGGUAAGUCGGGUGUGAAAUCUUGGAGCUUAACUCCGAAACUGCAUUCGAUACUGCCGUGCUUGAGGACUGGAGAGGAGACUGGAAUUUACGGUGUAGCGGUGAAAUGCGUAGAUAUCUGGAGGAAUACCGGUGGCGAAGGCGGCAUCCUGGACCAUUACUGACGCUGAGGCGCGAAAGCUAGGGGAGCAAACAGG